AUUGAAACCUGAGACUUCCAGAAGAUGCCACC
rnacentral:piRNA from 1 species